AAACAUGUCUUAAAGAUUAUAAUUUUAGGUCUGAUCUGCUCCAUGAUUUAAAUAAAUUAAAUAGCUGCAGAAUUUUAACUGUACAAAGGUAGCAUAAUAAAUAGUUUUUUAAUUAAAAGCUGGAAUGAAGGAUUUGAUAAGGUAAAUAUUGUCUCAAAUUUAAUAGUAUUAUAAUUUUUAUUUUAGUAAAAAUGCUAAGAUGAAUUUAAAAGACGAGAAGACCCUAUAGAUUUUUAUAUUUAAUAUUAAAUUAUUUUAAAUUUAUAAAUAAAAUUUAAUAGAAUAAUAUUAGGUUGGGGAAAUUAUUAAAUUAAAUAAAUUUUAAUAUUUUAUAAACAAUAAUUAUUGAUUAAUUGAUCUUAAUGUAUAAAAUAAAAGAAUAAAAUACCUUAGGGAUAACAGCGUAAUUUUUUUUGAGAGUUCUAAUUGAUAAAAAAGUUUGCGACCUCGAUGUUGAAUUAAGAUAAAAUUUUAAUGAAGAAGUUAAAAAUUUUUGGUCUGUUCGACCAUUAAAAUCUUACAUGAUCUGAGUUCAAACCGG
rnacentral:rRNA from 1 species